AACGUAGGUGGCAAGCGUUAUCCGGAUUCACUGGGCGUAAAGCGAGUGCAGGUGGUUGUGUAAGUUGGAUGUGAAAUUUCCCGGCUUAACCGGGAAGGGUCAUUCAAUACUGCGCGACUUGAGGGCAGAAGAGGGGGGUGGAAUUGCCGGUGUAGUGGUGAAAUGCGUAGAUAUCGGCAGGAACACCUGUGGCGAAAGCGGCCCCCUGGUCUGCUCCUGACACUCAGACUCGAAAGCUAGGGUAGCGAACGGG
rnacentral:rRNA from 1 species